rnacentral:lncRNA from 1 species
UGGGUCAAGAGACCACAGAGAAAGGGGCUCCAGGCACCAGGGCAAAACCCACAGACAGAAAGUACCCUCCAGUGUCCACCCAGGCUGGGCCUCAAGAGCCAUGCAGCCCUCAGUGCAGGCCAGGCAACCUUGGCUUGUUCAUCUCCCUUUACCUCCAGCAGCCUCUGUUGGGGGGACAUUCUUCUUGGGAGGGACUGACAGCCAUGGAGGGGUGGGAUGGGUCCAAGUAUGGAUGUCUGUGUUCAAAGGAUAGUUAAGAUCAGGAUCCAAGUAAAGUUCAAGGUCAUUGUGAAUGGUUAAGGUCAGCUAGAUUCAGGUAUAAACUUAGGGGAGGUAUAAACUUAUGGCCAGGACAAUGUUCAGGGUUGGCUUCAGAUUCAGAUUCAGGGCCAUGAAAAGCACCAGUGUACUGGAUUCAAAAUCAAUCAAAGUCAGUUUCAAGGACAAGUUUAAAAUGAGGGCAAAACAUGGUCAGGGUGAUGGUUAGGGUGAGGACAAGGGUCAGAAUUAGGGCUAGAUUCAAAUUCAAGGUCAAGUUCAUGCUUAUUUCAGCUUAAGGUCAGGAUGACUGUAUAUGAGAUUCAAGAUCAGGAUCAACACGCCUGUAAUCCCAGCACUUUCGAAGGCCAAAGUGAGCGAAUCAUUUGAGGUCGCGAGUUUGAGACCAGCCCAGCUAACAUGGUGAAACUGCCUACUAAAAAAUACAAAAUGUAGCUAGGUGUGGUGGUGCACACCUGUAAUCCCAGCUACCCAGAGGGCUGAGGCAGGAGAAUCGCUUGAACCUGGGAGGCGGAGGUUGCGGUGAGCCAAGAUCACGCGACUGCACUCCAGCCUGGGCCUCCGUCUCAAAAAAAAGAAAAAAGUCAAGGUCUGGACACAUGGGUCAGUUUCAAAGUUAAUCCAAGGUCACCUCAAGGGGAUCACGGUCAGGAUGAUCGUUAAGUGUAAAUCGAUUAGAAUGAGUCUCAUGUGGUA